UGUUUAGGUUCUGUGAUUAGGAUAAUGAAUUACUUUAUAAACAAUUUAGUAUUAAGUUGGGCAUCUCUUAAAUUGUUCAACUGGAUCAAUAUGGCUUUGUUUUGUGUUUAAUUUUAGAAAGAAAGUCUCUGAUUAGGAUACAGAAUUACUUUGUAAACAAUUUAGUAUUCAGGUGAGCAUCUUUUAAUUUGGUCAACUGAACUAAUAUAUGUCUUUGAUGCAUGAUUAACUUUAGAUUAGAAAGCAAGCAGGUCACCCAAUCUACUAAUAAAAACAAAUUAUCCUCUUUAGGUUCUGUGAUGAGAUCACCCUCUUUACACUCAAUCAAGGACCCAGUCUCGCACCGGGGCGCCAAAGGGGAUCACUAAGAGAGUAAGAGAAAUGCAACGUGCUGGUCAAAUAUUUGAAACCUAGACGAUGGGUGGUUUAUUUUGACAUCACUUUUAUAAGAAAUUAUGUCUACAUUUCCAAAUCUUGUGAUCAUUAUUAUAAGAAAUAUGGUUACAUUGCAAUAUUUUUGUUUUUGUUUUUUGGUUCCAUCUUUGAGACUUUGCAAGUUAAUUAGUGAAUUUUGUAAAAUUUUCCAUUGA